CCUACGGGAGGCAGCAGUGAGGAAUCUUGCGCAAUGGGGGCAACCCUGACGCAGCAACGCCGCGUGAGUGAUGAAGGCCUUCGGGUCGUAAAGCUCUGUCAGAUGGGAAGAAGGUUCCGUUUCUGAAUAAGAAACGGAAUUGACGGUACCGUCGAAGGAAGCACCGGCUAACUCCGUGCCAGCAGCCGCGGUAAUACGGAGGGUGCAAGCGUUGUUCGGAUUUAUUGGGCGUAAAGAGCGUGUAGGCGGCCGGGUAGGUCAGAUGUGAAAUCCCUUGGCUUAACCAAGGAAGGGCAUUUGAAACUGUCUGGCUUGAGUACGGGAGGGGGAAGUGGAAUUCCCGGUGUAGAGGUGAAAUUCGUAGAUAUCGGAAGGAACACCGAUGGCGAAGGCAGCCCCCGGGGUUGGCACUGACGCUCAUGCACGAAAGCGUGGGGAGCAAACAGGAUUAGAUACCCUUGUAGU
rnacentral:rRNA from 1 species